rnacentral:rRNA from 1 species
AUGAACGCUAGCGGGAGGCCUAACACAUGCAAGUCGAACGGGAUCCACGAGCAAUCGUGGUGAGAGUGGCGCACGGGUGAGUAACGCGUAUGCAACCUACCUGUAACAGAGGGAUAGCCCAUAGAAAUGUGGAUUAACACCUCAUAGUUCUUAUUAGUCGCAUGACUGACAAGAUAAAACUCCGGUGGUUACAGAUGGGCAUGCGUGACAUUAGCUAGUUGGUGAGGUAACGGCUCACCAAGGCUACGAUGUCUAGGGGUUCUGAGAGGAUGAUCCCCCACACUGGUACUGAGACACGGACCAGACUCCUACGGGAGGCAGCAGUGAGGAAUAUUGGUCAAUG